rnacentral:rRNA from 1 species
GAUGAACGCUGGCGGCGUGCCUAAUACAUGCAAGUCGAGCGAACAGACGAGGAGCUUGCUCCUCUGACGUUAGCGGCGGACGGGUGAGUAACACGUGGAUAACCUACCUAUAAGACUGGGAUAACUUCGGGAAACCGGAGCUAAUACCGGAUAAUAUAUUGAACCGCAUGGUUCAAUAGUGAAAGACGGUUUUGCUGUCACUUAUAGAUGGAUCCGCGCCGCAUUAGCUAGUUGGUAAGGUAACGGCUUACCAAGGCAACGAUGCGUAGCCGACCUGAGAGGGUGAUCGGCCCCACUGGAACUGAGACACGGUCCAGACUCCUACGGGAGGCAGCAGUAGGGAAUCUUCCGCAAUGGGCGAAAGCCUGACGGAGCAACGCCGCGUGAGCGAUGAAGGUCUUCGGAUCGUAAAACUCUGUUAUUAGGGAAGAACAAAUGUGUAAGUAACUAUGCACGUCUUGACGGUACCUAAUCAGAAAGCCACGGCUAACUACGUG